AGAUAGAGACAGCCAGCGAGAGAGGGAACACAGCAGGGGGAGUGGGAGAGGAAGAAGCAGGCUCCCAGCGGAGGAGCCCGAUGCGGAACUAGAUCCCGGAACACCAGGACCACGCCCUGAGCCGAAGGCAGACGCUUUAACGACUGCGCUACCCAGGCGCCCCCAAAGUCAGAUUUUAAAUUGAUGAAACAGCUCUCUCCCGGAAGACUAAGGCGCUACGCCCGCUACACGGCAACUCCCCAUUUCUCCCCCCGCCCAGCUCUGGCAACCUCCACUCGCCUUUUUGUGCCGAUGAACCGCCUACUUCAGUUACUUCAUAAACGUGGAAUCAUACAGUAUCUUUUCGCAACUGGCUCGCUGCCCUCAGCAGCGAGUCCUCGAGCUCCAUUCGCGCUGCAGGCAAGGCUGCGGAGAAGCUGGACCGCUCGGAACACUGCCGGUGGGGAUGCAACAUGGUGCAGCUGCUGUGCAAAGCAGAAAAAAAAGUUAAAACACAGAAUUAUGACUUGGCGAUUCGAAGCCUAGAUAGAUACCCAAAAGAAUUAAAAGCAGGCACUCAAGCAAAUGUACGUAUACACACGUUCAUAGCAACACUACUCACGAGAGCCAGAAGGUGGGAUCAGCCCCAAUGUCCAUCAAUGGAUGAAUGGAUAAGCAAACAGGGACAUAUACACACAAUGAAUUAUGCAGCUAUAAAAGGAAUGAAGUAUUGCUACAUGGGACGUGAGCCUCCAAAACACCAUGCUAAGUGAAAGAAGCCAGGCACGAAAAGGCACAUAUUGCACGAUUCCAUUUAUACGAGAAAUCCCACAUAGGUAAAUCCGUAGAGACAGAAAGCAGAUUGGUGGUUGCCAGGGGCCGGGGGGAGAGGGAAGUGCAGAGGGACUGCUUAAUGGGUGUCGGAUUUCCUUUGGGGGGGAUGGAAAUGUUUCAGAACUAGAUAGAGUUGUGGUUACCCAACACUGUGAAUGUACUAAAUGCCGCUGAAUUGUACACUUUGCAAAGGUUAAUUUUAUGUUCUGUGAAUUUCACUUUAAUAAAGGGAAUAUUGAAACGUCUGUAACGACCUAA
rnacentral:lncRNA from 1 species